UACGUAGGGUGCAAGCGUUGUCCGGAAUUAUUGGGCGUAAAGAGCUCGUAGGCGGUUUGUCGCGUCGGCUGUGAAAACCCGAGGCUCAACCUCGGGCCUGCAGUGGGUACGGGCAGACUAGAGUGCGGUAGGGGAGAUUGGAAUUCCUGGUGUAGCGGUGGAAUGCGCAGAUAUCAGGAGGAACACCGGUGGCGAAGGCGGGUCUCUGGGCAGUAACUGACGCUGAGGAGCGAAAGCGUGGGGAGCGAACAGG
rnacentral:rRNA from 1 species